rnacentral:rRNA from 1 species
UACGAAGGGGGCUAGCGUUGUUCGGAAUUACUGGGCGUAAAGCGUGCGUAGGCGGCUUCUUAAGUCAGGGGUGAAAGCCCAGAGCUCAACUCUGGAAUUGCCUUUGAGACUGAGUGGCUUGAGUACGAGAGAGGUGAGUGGAAUUCCCAGUGUAGAGGUGAAAUUCGUAGAUAUUGGGAAGAACACCGGUGGCGAAGGCGGCUCACUGGCUCGUAACUGACGCUCAUGCACGACAGCGUGGGGAGCAAACAGG